rnacentral:tRNA from 1 species
GUGGUGUUGGCAGAUUGUAUAUGCAACGGAUUGCAAACCCGUCUAAGUAGGUUAAAUUCCUAUACACCACUCCA